GAUGAACGCUAGCUACAGGCUUAACACAUGCAAGUCGAGGGGUAACGAGAGGAGAGCUUGCUUUCCUUGUCGACGACCGGCGCACGGGUGAGUAACGCGUAUCCAACCUGCCCCCAACUAGGGAAUAACCUUGCGAAAGUAAGACUAAUACCCUAUAAUUUCCUCAGAUGUCAUCUGACGAGGAAUAAAGAUUUAUCGGUUGUGGAUGGGGAUGCGUCUGAUUAGCUUGUUGGCGGGGUAACGGCCCACCAAGGCAAAGAUCAGUAGGGGAUCUGAGAGGAAGGUCCCCCACAUUGGAACUGAGACACGGUCCAAACUCCUACGGGAGGCAGCAGUGAGGAAUAUUGGUCAAUGGGCGGAAGCUUGAACCAGCCAAGUAGCGUGCAGGAUGACGGCCCUAUGGGUUGUAGACUGCUUUUAUACAGGAAUAAAGUUAGCCACGUGUGGUUAUUUGUAGGUACUGUAUGAAUAAGGACCGGCUAAUUCCGUGCCAGCCGCCGCCGUAA
rnacentral:rRNA from 1 species